AACGAACGCUGGCGGCAGGCCUAACACAUGCAAGUCGAACGCCGUAGCAAUACGGAGUGGCAGACGGGUGAGUAACACGUGGGAACGUACCCUUCGGUUCGGAAUAACUCAGGGAAACUUGAGCUAAUACCGGAUACGUCCGAGAGGAGAAAGAUUUAUCGCCGAGGGAUCGGCCCGCGUCUGAUUAGCUUGUUGGUGAGGUAACGGCUCACCAAGGCGACGAUCAGUAGCUGGCUGAGAGGAUGAUCAGCCACAUUGGGACUGAGACACGGCCCAAACUCCUACGGGAGGCAGCAGUGGGGAAUAUUGGACAAUGGGCGCAAGCCUGAUCCAGCCAUGCCGCGUGAGUGAUGAAAGGCCCUAGGGUUGUAAAGCUCUUUUACCCGGGAAGAUAAUGACUGUACCGGGAGAAUAAGCCCCGGCUAACUUCGUGCCAGCAGCCGCCGU
rnacentral:rRNA from 1 species